CGCGUAGGCGGUUUGGCAAGUCAGUCGUGAAAUCCCUCGGCUCAACCGAGGAACUGCGAUUGAAACUGCCGGACUCGAGUCCCGGAGAGGGUAGUGGAAUUCCCAGUGUAGCGGUGAAAUGCGUAGAUAUUGGGAGGAACAUCGGUGGCGAAGGCGGCUACCUGGACGGGUACUGACGCUGAGGCGCGAAAGCGUGGGGAGCAAACA
rnacentral:rRNA from 1 species